rnacentral:lncRNA from 1 species
CGCCUAUGACUUUUGAUGUAUAUUAUAAAGUUGCCUUCUCAGAUUAUAUUCUAAAUUCCCUACAAUUUCUCCAGAAGAAUAUAAAUGCCUAUUUCCUCAUAUGUUUUUCAAUGUUUCCACUUUUAAAAAUUUUUGCAAAAAUGGUGGGCAAAAAGUUGGCAUCUCAUUGUUUAAAUUUACAUUUCUUUAGUGAAACAAGAUUUUUUCAUAUGUUUAUUUUUGUUUUCUGUGAAUUGCCUAUUCAGGCUUCUUGCCUGUUUUUCUAUUGGAAUAUUUCUUGUCAUAUUCAUUAUUUGGUUAGCUGUAAUACGCCUUAUUUUUAGAAAGAGCACAGGUGUGUUUCCUCUAUGAACCCUCACAUAUUUCAGAAUAGCUUUCUAUUUUUAUCAUGAACGAUUAACAACUUUAUUGAUAUAUCUUGGGUCUCAUAGCAAAGCAGAAAAAGUUCAUCCAGACUUGGGUUUCCUCCUAUGUCAGGCAGAUGUGCACUCCCUGAAUUCCCUCACAAUCCACCAAUUUGAAGUUACAAUCUUCCUGCAGGGCUUAAACCACCAGGCUGAUUAGUAAAAUUUUCAGUUCAGUUAUCGCUCAGCCUGUGUAACUGUAGAUAAAGCCUGGAAUAUGGGGAGCCCCGAGCAGAGGAAUCCUAUCUCUGAGCAGUUUUUCCUUUGUAAUUGUUACCAAGCAAAACUGUUGGGCUGGUGCUUCCAGGCCUCCAUACCUCACUUAGCCCACCUGGUACUUUGGCUAAGUCGUGAGACCCUCACGUACAACUGACUCUCUGUGGGCCAUUACCAUGGAAACCCAGGAAUCUCCAUGCUACUUCUGUAGAAUGCAGCUUAUUCCAAGUGGGGGAAGGGGUUUCACAUCUUACACUCUCUGCCUCAUAUUAGCUUCCACUUCCUCCCCUAUUGUUAGUGAGUAUUAGUGGGGCUCUGACUUUUUUUUUUUUUUUUUUUUUUUGAGACAGAGUCUCGCUCUGUCGCCCAGGCUGGAGUGGAGUGUUGUCAUCUCUGCUCACUGCAGCCUUUGCCUCCUGGGUUCAAGCAAUUCUGCCUCAGCCUCCCGAGCGGCUGGGACUAUAGGCAUGCACUGCCGCAGCCGGCUAAUUUUUGUAUUUUUAGUAGAGAUGGGGUUUCACCAAGUUCGCCAGGAUGGUCUUGAUCUCCUGACCUCAUGAUCUACCCACCUUGACCUCCCAAAGUGCUGGGAUUACAGGCAUGAGCCACCGCUCCCGGCUGGCAUAUAUAUAUAUAUAAAUCCUGACUUACCCUACCAGUGUAGUGCUUUCUCUAGAUGCUAAGAUGUCUCUUUAACAUUUUGCUCAGUUAGUUCUCAUUUGUACAAUAUCUCACCAAAAAUCCUCGAAGUGUUUGGUACAGGUAUGACACCCUUCUCAUUUUUCCACCUUGGAUGCAGCUUUUUAAUUUUUCUUCAUCCCUUUGGCUAUGUACUUGGAGUUUUCAGAGGAUGGAGUACAAGUUCAGCAACUCUGUGAAUUUCAUCACCUCACUGGAAAGUUUGGUCUUUGACUUUUUGAAGUGCAGCAGUGUGGUUAGGAGUUCUAUGAACAGUGUUUGCAAGGGCCUUGCCAAAACUCAAAGUCCUCUCUCAUCACAUGGAUGCAACUAUUAACUGGAAACUUGAGAACACCGCAUCUGGAAAAUUUCAAAAGUUAUAGUGUAAUUUUCACCUAAUGGUAACUUAGAAUUCUGAGUAAAAGAGCGAAUUUGAGUAAAUGUAUCUAACUCUUCUAGACAACUUUUCUUGAUUCCUAUUAAAGCGGAAUUAAAAAAAAAAAAGAGGACAAACUAUAUUAUUUGCUGGAUAGUAGAUACUCUAGAUUCACACCUGAAACUUUUGGAUAUUUCUGCAAAUGAAACUGAAUCAAAGAUGAGGACUAUCCUGAUGAUGUACUGCCUGCAUGAAAAGU